UAUUGCACAAUGGGGGAAACCCUGAUGCAGCGACGCCGCGUGAGUGAAGAAGUAUUUCGGUAUGUAAAGCUCUUUCCUAAGGGAAGAAGAAAGUGACGGUACCUUAGGAAUAAGCCUCGGCUAACUACGUGCCAGCAGCCGCGGUAAUACGUAGGAGGCGAGCGUUAUCCGGAAUGACUGGGCGUAAAGGGUGCGUAGGUGGUUUGGCAAGUUAGUAGCGUAACUCCAAGGCUCAACCUUGGAACUACUACUAAAACUGUUGGACUUGAGUGCAGGAGGGGCAACCGGAAUUCCUAGUGUAGCGGUGGAAUGCGUAGAUAUUAGGAGGAACACCAGUGGCGAAGGCGGGUUGCUAGACUGUAACUGACACUGAGGCACGAAAGCGUGGGGAGCAAAC
rnacentral:rRNA from 1 species